GAAUAUUCUUAAUUUGAAUCUUCAUUCUUUCACUUUUUAUCGGGACCGAUAAGUGCACUCGUCCUUUCAUAUUAUUCCUCAAACGCAUAAAGGAAAAAAGUGUGGAAAACUGGAGUGGGACAGACAGACAGACAGACGGACGAACGGACAGACACGGAAAGACGGAUAGCCGGACAGCAGACGACAACAAGAUGUGAUCAAAGAGCUCAGAGCUAAAAAGUAUAUAAGCUACCCCCAGUAUUGGCUUACCAUUCAUUGUAAUUGUGUCAUUUAUUUUUCUGCUUUUCACAGUUGAGUUAACCUUUAUUUAAUGCUUCUUAGUUUGACAAUGAAUGUCAUCAAUGCAUUUAUGUGAAAAUGUUGUUGUUAAAAUUAUUGCAAGUAAUAUUUUUUUUACUUUUCUGUAAUAUCAACAUUUUUCAAUACUUUUUUUAUAGGCCUGUAUUAAGACAUGCAAUCUUUCUUUUUUAUAUUGGUUUUCGUCAAGGUGGAGACCUUGGUGUUUUUUGUGACCGUAAACUUGAAGGAAAACCAUCCAUGGCAAUAUCUACUACAUCCGCUUCGUCCACUACACGGCUAUCCAGUCCAUCUUUUGUGGUUUCAUUUACGGAACUUAUAGCUACAUCUGCAAUCAACAAGAAAAAAUCGUCAGAGGAACUGAAAUCCGAGUCGUUGUUGUCUUUACAAAUCCCACUGGCUAUAUUCGUGGUGAUUUCAACACUUUCAACAAUACUGAAUAUAUACUUUUAUAUUAACAUCAAAUCGAGAAACAAGUCUAAGAAGGAUAAAACUAACUCAAACGUUAUAAUGAGCAAUCGAGGGGGAAGUGAACCGAAUGCUGAAACCUACACAGAACUAGGAAAAACGGCAGCAAGAGAAUCUGAAAACCAGUACGAAUCGAUCACACGCCAGGAAAACAACAUGAACACUAAUGCUUUAUAAACUUUUCUAAAAUUUGAAAUUCACCUUGCCUGAAAUUGGACUUAAUACAUGUAUAAGAAGUAGUAUUACACUUUUGUGGUUGAUAUUAUAUAUUCAUGAAAACUGCUGAGUAUUUAUGUAAUAAAUGUAACAUUGGAAUGCAAAGAAAACCACACAAAUUGGAAAAUAAAUGUUAUUAUAGUAUAUUGAUAAUAACUGGAAAUCAAAAAGUUUGAAAAUUGUACUAGUUUUUUAAGCUAAAAAUACGAGUUUAACACGGAAUACUCGAACAAACAUCAGUGCAUAUACAUGUACAUGUAUGUGUAUAUUUUGUAUUAUGUAAUUCAUAUAAUGAAUGUAUUAUGCAUGUAAAUGUUGACAAUGACGUACGGACUGUUGUUUGUUUCACCGUAAAGAGCUCCAACAAUUUUACAAUACAGAAUGCUUGUGUUAUAGCCAUUUAACUUUUAGAAAUAUUUGCUUUUGAUAUAGGUUUCAGUGCAAACGAUUGAUUACUAUUUUUCACCUUACUUUGUGUAUUGUACAUAAUGAUUGUAUUCCACCUUCUCUUAUUAUUUAAUUGGUGGUACACAGAAAUAAGCGCAGUUAUUGUGUGUAUACGUGUUUGCGUAUCUGGGUGUUUUUUAGUUCUAAACAAAUCAAGAAUUUGACAGUAUUUUGUACGUGUAUAUAGAGGAGGUUUUUUAAACUGUUCGCUUUUAGAAUAAACAUGACUGCAGUAUUGUAAUUUGUAUCAUAUAUGCUAUCAAAUGCAUAUUUUGCAGUUGGGACCACUCCCAUCCUUGCACGCUCGCUUUGUAUAAUGAAAUUCAAAUGUUACUGUGUUUAAAAACCCAUAAUAUUGAAUCAGGGUAAGCAGACUGGUGUAAGUGGCAGAAAUCUGGAAAAACAUACACACUGUUGUAUGCAGUACAUUUUAUAUGGAGUACAUGAUGAUUAGGCUUAGCGACCAGUAAAAAGAUAUAACAGAUAACCUUAACAAUUAAUGAUGUUUUAUAGCUAGUACAGUGGCCGCCACACUGUCUGGCGCAUGCGCACUAAAAACAAACAAGAUCAUGCGAAAAAGCUUGGGCGAAAACGAUACCUGAAUAAAAUUGUAUGUAAUUGACCGAAAUAGAGAAAGAAAGGCGAAGACGAAAAUGCGAAGGUGUGAAUGCGAAAGAGCGAUAUUAAUAUCAUUCCUUCGUCUUCGCAUCUUUGCACUUCGCCAUUCUGUCUUCUCACUUCUCGUUUGCCUUCGCAACUUUGCAUUUUCGCCAUUGCACCUUUGCAUCUUCGUCCCUAAGGUAAAAAUGUAAAGAUGCGAGUGACCCAAACAAAACACCAUAGGACACAGCAAUUGGACAGCAGAUAGACAUGGAUUUGCUGUCUUUGGCAGAAAAUCCGUUACUGGGAUACUGUCAUUCUUUUCCUUAGUCUUUCCUCAAGAAAAUGACUACAAGGAGAACAGGCAGUUCAAUACUUUAAAAGCCUCUCUAAAAUGAGGACAACUUCGGUUUAUAAAGACAUUGUAUGCCCUUUUAAAUAUAGCUAAACCCACAAUACUAUUUAUUGUAUUUGUUGGGAAUCAACUGGCAAAAUGUCGAAUGACGAGAUGUCAGAGCUGGUUAAGUCCUGCUUUGCUCAAAAAUAUGUAGCGGAGCCUGAAGACCAUAAACUUUGGGAAAAAUCUUAAAUGUAAAUGGAUAUAUACGAUCAUAAUCAUGAUUUCAAUAAAUCUUAAAAGUUAUAAUUGUAAAAUGUUUCUUGU